UACGUAGGGAGCAAGCGUUGUCCGGAAUCAUUGGGCGUAAAGAGCUCGUAGGCGGCUUGUCGCGUCGGAUGUGAAAACCCGGGGCUUAACUCCGGGCCUGCAGUCGAUACGGGCAGACUAGAGUUCGGCAGGGGAGACUGGAAUUCCUGGUGUAGCGGUGAAAUGCGCAGAUAUCAGGAGGAACACCGGUGGCGAAGGCGGAUCUCUGGGCCGAUACUGACGCUGAGGAGCGAAAGCGUGGGGAGCGAACAGG
rnacentral:rRNA from 1 species